CAAACCUCCGUAACUACAGUGUUACUCAUAAAACACGACUUCUUUACCAAUUUGUACAAGCACUUUGACCUCUUGCCUUGGCACACAGGCUUGGAAGAUUUUUCAUCUUUAGCCCUUUUUAUGGUUUCAGCAGAAAUACUAUAAGAAAGUUUAUUUUGGGAGUACUUUUGAUCUAUCUCAAACAAGAAGCUGAGCUUGUGACCUUACAGGCAAAACUACUAUCGAUUGUCCAGCACAAUUGUUAGCUCUAAACCAAAACAAUUUCAGGUUGCGGUUUACUUCUGGUUUAAAUUUGGAACUAUUUUUACAUCAAGAAUUGGUGUUAUGUGUUUUUGACAAAGAUGAGAACAAAAUCUCUACUUGCAACAGCUUCCAUUCCUAAUAGAGAAAUGAGGCUUAUGCAAGCAUGCUGCAUGUGCCUGUAUCUCCAUGAGUUCCACACCCUGGUAUCUUUUGAACCUACUGACAAAUUUCAACCAACUCGCUCAAAAAACGUCAAGUUCAUACAAGUUUUAUGAAAAUAACCUACUGGACAGUGCUUUCACGGAGGGUUAGGCUGCAGUGCAAAGAGGCACCAUUUGAGAUGACAGAAACUCCACUUCUAAGAAAGUGUUUGUAAAAGUCUCACCAUGGGGAAAGUUUCAGCGAAAGCCUGUUACUUCCUUGGUUUGAAGUCAAUCAAGUCUGAUGCAGAGACCUUUCGGGAGCCAGGCUUCGUAGUACUGAUCUCCACAGCACAUGGGGAUGUUAUUUUGCGGUAAUGAUUUACCACCUAAACUACCUUUAAAGCAAAUGUUUGUUUCUUUUUUUUUUUUCCUUUAGGACCAAAAACUACCCAAUAGCCUUUCCUUUAAGACCAAGACAUUACUUUGUCCAUCACCCUAGAAGUCAGCUCUUGACCUUCAUCACUGUCACUUUUCUCCAUGGAUUCUGUGGGUUUAAAGUUACAGGAUUGUCGAAACAGAUAACAAAGUGCAGAAGGCUGAAAAGUGGCUGGGAUGAACCUUUAGGGACAAAGUUUAUCUGUUCGAGCAUUUCCUGUGUGUACUUUGAAACCUCUCAAUUGAACUUGAUCAAAGCACGAGCCGACACAUUUCAGCUACCUACUGAACAAACAAAUUUACUGCUUAUCAUUGUUGCCACCUCAGUCUUUAAUUUACUUUACUUAGUAAGCCAGUACAUGUUAAAUGAACAACCUGUUCAUCACAAAUGCUAGUUUCAGGUCUUAAAAAUAGGCUAUAGUUCACCUGACGUUAACAUAUACAGCAUAUCAUAGGCUCUCUCCUUCCCCAGAAACCCUAUAUAAAAGGAGGUUUAAGUCAUAUAUAGUCAGUGUGGAAAACAGUGGCCUCUUUGGGAUCACUAUAUCCAUCAACCUCCAUUGGAUUUUUUUUUUUUGGUAUAUAUAUAUCUCGGGCUUUGUCCUUUCUUUUUCAUUAACUACUGUAGGACAUAUGAGGACUGAGAAAUUAAUGGCAGUGUUCUUAAAAUGUGUUAGUUAACUCACACUAACAUAUUUCAAAACACAGUUUAGCACAUAUGGAUUGACAGAUCAUUUUAAACAUCGCUUUCUUUGUCAACAGUAGUAACUAAUACUUUUUUAAAUGUUCUGCUAGUUAGGGAAAAAAAUAAUUGUUUUUUUCCCCCAUGAAAAAAGUGUUUACUUAAAUUAAUAAUAAGAAAGAAAAUACUAUUGUGAAGUGUUGCAUCAAAGGAGCAUGGCCAGACAGCCUGGGCUGUAGAAAAUAAUGAAGUACGAUGACAGCCUUUCUUUUUUUAAUCUAAAACAAUUUGACCAAUGUUUUUAGUCAGUGUUCUAAAAUAUUUUGAUUGUUUCCCACGCAAAACUAUUGGCACAUAUUUUCCAGCUUAUGUGGCCUUCCUUAUUCUCAGGGAAAUGGAGUCCAAAUAUUUUGAUUUUAUUGAUAACUGCUCAUGGGCAAUAGCAUGUCAUCCCAGAACGAGAGCCAAUGAUGUGGCACAUUUAGAGAGGUUGCUCCUCCUUCAGGGAGCACCUGCAAGGGAAGCUGUUUAGCUCUAGGCCUCCAACCACGGGCCUUGCCCUGGCGUACACGUCCAGCGCACAUUGGGGCAGUGGGAAUGGGCCGACUGCGCGAGGAAGCUCCUACCAUCCCUCCAACACGUGUAUUUCUGGGCCUGCACUCCAAAUCGCAGCAGCAAAGUGUCCUGGGUUAGGGGAAAUAACGGAUGAAGCAACCAGCCUCCCGAACCAGCUUUGCUAUCAGAUCUUUACAUUACGGAUACUCUUACUCAUAAAACAAAAUAGAACAGGGUGUUUGGUACUGGUAGAUACAGGUAUAAAUUAUUCUUCAGAACUUCAAAUUGCGAUUACCAUUGUGAUUACUGCUGGAAGCUUGUUUCCUUCUUUCAAGUAAAAAUAAUAUCUUAAAACAUUCUGUAAACUCAGCUAUUAAACAUAAUGAAUUUUUAUUCUA